GCCCAGUGGUGGAACUACUCACCAGGGUGAUGGUGAAAACAAGCCUGACUUAGGGAAUCUAUAGGAAAAUACAGCCUAUGGAUUUUUUUGUCUCCAAGAAGGAACCUGGAAUUCUGUAGCUCUGAGCUGGAUAAGAAAACCAAAGAGAAAUCUAUCUCAAUCAUAGCUGCUCCCGUUUCACUCUCUCCCCUUAGAAAGCCACUGAGUCUGCUUCUGCAAGCAAUUUAUGGCUCGUGCAGCUGCUUUGACAACAGCAUCAAAUAGCAUGGAGUAUGAACUUGGCUUUCUGCAGCCAUGGUCAGGAAGAAGCUAAGAAGAUGGACUUACACCGUUCAGUGGCAUAGAUAGUGCUACCCACAUCUUGGUUUAUUUUGACACAAAUGCAUGGAAGAUGUGCCUCUGAGUGGAACUUUUUUUUUUUAUCUCAAUGGAUAGUUUUUUCCCCUUGAUCUGCUUUAAUUAUAUAACAUUUUCUUAAAUUUUUCACAUUUGCUACUUCUUGGUUGCAAACAUACAGAAACAGCUGACAAAAUUAAUGAAUAAAAAGCAGCUUUUUCUUGA